rnacentral:lncRNA from 1 species
ACAAUGUACUAUUGUUGGGAGAUUUCUAAGAGUUGGACCUAUAAAGGUGUCUUCUCCUUUAGCAUGUGGCACUACUAAAGACAAUGGUGAGAUUAUUGUCUGGCUUUCCUAAAUAAUGAGGACUAGAUUGGCAUGAUUUAGAACUGAGGUUUAUUUACAUCUGGAUGAGCCAGAAAUCUGAUAUACAGAAUGAAGUGCUUUGAUUAAUUUGUAUUGGGAAUAAUAUCAAGAAAUGAUGUAGAAAAAUAAUUUAUUGUUAGAAUUCAAAACAUAAACAUGCAUUUUCCUUUGGACAAAACUGAGCUAACUGAAUGGAUAAAAUCAUUUAAGAUAUCUUUACUUAAGGUAUUAUUUCAUAAUAUCAUGUAUGUUUUAAAGAAACACUGUUAGUUGGGAAGUUUAUUUUUCAUUCCUUUUAUGUUAAACUUAGGUCCCUCUAACUGUCAGAUAGCUUCACGUGGAUAUUGGUACAAUGAGUUUAUACUCAUAUGGAUUUGACUACACCCACUAUAUGUGUUAACAUAUGUGUCCUUUUAAAGGAUUGACUAUUUUAAAUAACAUAAAUUCUGAACAAUUUUAGAGAUACUAAGAUCAUCA